ACACACACGCACUCACAAGACACAUCCACGUCUAUCACAUGCGCUCACAUGCGCUUACAAACACAAAUGUGUGGACACAUACACUCAAACACACACACACACACAAAUAUCUUGAUAAAUUGGUUAACACACUGCUUUCUCACCGUAAUGAAAUCACUUUCCAUUGUCAGACCUCUUGCCAGGUAAAAUAAAUCUGCUGCUAUUCUAUCACUAGAUGACGGACAGGGUUGCUUUGCCAUCUAAAUGCAGAAAGUCUUUAGUGGCACAAGGUUUGCCAGAGGCCAUUUUGUUUCUUGCCAAACGUGUUCGCCAAAACCCGGGUCGACUGCCAGCUUCCUCAGCAAUCACAGACACCUGUGAUGGAGGGUCUGGGUGGGCUAGGCUGUACAAACACAGCUGUGAUUGCGUGCGGGGUAAUAAUAGAGGAAAGUGGAGACCUGCGAAAGGCAGAUAGACAGAGGUUUUAUAAGCCUCCAUAUUGCUUUGAGGAGACACAUUGAGAACAAAUUCAAAGCUCGCCGAGGCUGAGUGCAGAGAAUUGGCUCCUGUCAACCGUAGCAGCCGCAGUUCAGCCCGUCCCCUUUCACAGAAAUAAUUUAACUUUCAGAACCACCACAAUGCAUGCAUUUCUUUUUUUUGCCAACAACAUAAAGUAAUUCGGUUCGCCAUGGUACUCGUGCUGUUUGAUUCAUGCUUAUCUAUGAUUGGAGUUGUGUUUGAUGAAAAUAUGCUCAGUUGUUGCUGUUGUUGUGGGUUUUUAUUUGUAUUUUUCCCUCACAGAGAGGACAUGCUGGAUGUAAGUCAAUCAUGAAGGACCUGGCCAGUAUGGUGCAUGAGCAAGGAGAGUCUAUAGACAGUAUUGAGGAUUACAUCCAGACAGGCUCAUCCAACGUCGAAAUGGCCAAUCAGGAGCUUGCGAAGGCCAGCCAUCACCAGAGGCAGAUGAGGAAGAGGAAGUGCUACCUACUGGUGGUGGGGGCUGUGGUCCUGAUCGUCCUCAUCAUCAUCAUCGCUGUUUCGGCGAGAAAAUGAAAGCGGGCGAACAAUGGUAGACGCUGUCUUCUGCCUGACCCCAUCCCGGGCCUGACCAGCUGACGCUGACCAGCUGACGCAAGUGGGGGGGUG